rnacentral:rRNA from 1 species
AUGGCCGCUACAAACCCUUCCUAUUACCAGAGUGGUGUUUGCCAAGACAUUAAGCAGAAAGAGCAUCUCUUCCACUUAUACAUGAACCAGAUAUUUGAUGGUCCGGGUGUUACCAACGCCAACCAAGUCACUGUUGUCAAUCCACCAGGUCAGCUUUUUGGGUUUGGUCACACCGUUGCAAACGACUGGACCAUACAUGAUGGUCCGGCUGCCGAUGCAAACCUUGUCGCACGUGCUCGUGGCAUGCACAUGGGUGCGGGCAAAGUUGCGAGAACUGGUUAUUCUGUCAUAAUAUAUUGUUCACUGAUACCAGGUUUAAGGGGUCCAGCCUUAAGGUUCUUGGAGACUUUGUAG